UUGGAGGAGUUUGAUCCUGGCGCAGAUUGAACGCUGGCGGCAGGCCUAACACAUGCAAGUCGAGCGGAUGAGAGGAGCUUGCUCCUUGAUUUAGCGGCGGACGGGUGAGUAAUGCCUAGGAAUCUGCCUGGUAGUGGGGGAUAACGUUCCGAAAGGAACGCUAAUACCGCAUACGUCCUACGGGAGAAAGCAGGGGACCUUCGGGCCUUGCGCUAUCAGAUGAGCCUAGGUCGGAUUAGCUAGUUGGUGAGGUAAUGGCUCACCAAGGCGACGAUCCGUAACUGGUCUGAGAGGAUGAUCAGUCACACUGGAACUGAGACACGGUCCAGACUCCUACGGGAGGCAGCAGUGGGGAAUAUUGGACAAUGGGCGAAAGCCUGAUCCAGCCAUGCCGCGUGUGUGAAGAAGGUCUUCGGAUUGUAAAGCACUUUAAGUUGGGAGGAAGGGCAUUAACCUAAUACGUUAGUGUUU
rnacentral:rRNA from 1 species